rnacentral:rRNA from 1 species
GAACGCGAAGAACCUUACCAAGUCUUGACAUCCUUUGACCACUCUAGAGAUAGAGCUUUCCCUUCGGGGACAGAGUGACAGGUGGUGCAUGGUUGUCGUCAGCUCGUGUCGUGAGAUGUUGGGUUAAGUCCCGCAACGAGCGCAACCCUUAUUACUAGUUGCCAGCAUUGAGUUGGGCACUCUAGUGAGACUGCCGGUGACAAACCGGAGGAAGGUGGGGAUGACGUCAAAUCAUCAUGCCCCUUAUGACUUGGGCUACACACGUGCUACAAUGGAUGGUACAACGAGCAGCGAACUCGCGAGGGUAAGCGAAUCUCUUAAAGCCAUUCUCAGUUCGGAUUGUAGGCUGCAACUCGCUACAUGAAGCCGGAAUCGCUAGUAAUCGCGGAUCAGCACGCCGCGGUGAAUACGUUCCCGGGUCUUGUACACACC